rnacentral:tRNA from 1 species
CCUUCGAUAGCUCAGCUGGUAGAGCGAAGGACUAUAUAGUCUGGUCUCUGUAAGAAUCCUUAGGUCGCUGGUUCGAUUCCGGCUCGAAGGA